GAGCGGUAACAUUUCUAGCUUGCUAGAAGAUGACGAGCGGCGGACGGGUGAGUAAUACUUAGGAAUCUACCUAGUAGUGGGGGAUAGCUCGGGGAAACUCGAAUUAAUACCGCAUACGACCUACGGGAGAAAGGGGGCAACUUGUUGCUCUCGCUAUUAGAUGAGCCUAAGUCGGAUUAGCUAGAUGGUGGGGUAAAGGCCUACCAUGGCGACGAUCUGUAGCUGGUCUGAGAGGAUGAUCAGCCACACCGGGACUGAGACACGGCCCGGACUCCUACGGGAGGCAGCAGUGGGGAAUAUUGGACAAUGGGGGAAACCCUGAUCCAGCCAUGCCGCGUGUGUGAAGAAGGCCUUUUGGUUGUAAAGCACUUUAAGCAGUGAAGAAGACUCUUCGGUUAAUACCCGGAGACGAUGACAUUAGCUGCAGAAUAAGCACCGGCUAACUCUGUGCCAGCAGCCGCGGUAAUACAGAGGGUGCAAGCGUUAAUCGGAAUUACUGGGCGUAAAGCGAGCGUAGGUGGCUUGAUAAGUCAGAUGUGAAAUCCCCGGGCUUAACCUGGGAACUGCAUCUGAUACUGUCAGGCUAGAGUAGGUGAGAGGAAGGUAGAAUUCCAGGUGUAGCGGUGAAAUGCGUAGAGAUCUGGAGGAAUACCGAUGGCGAAGGCAGCCUUCUGGCAUCAUACUGACACUGAGGCUCGAAAGCGUGGGUAGCAAACAGGAUUAGAUACCCUGGUAGUCCACGCCGUAAACGAUGUCUACUAGUCGUUGGGUCCCUUGAG
rnacentral:rRNA from 1 species